rnacentral:rRNA from 1 species
UACGAAGGGGGCUAGCGUUGUUCGGAAUUACUGGGCGUAAAGGGCGCGUAGGCGGUGUGUCAAGUCAGGCGUGAAAGCCCCGGGCUCAACCUGGGAACAGCGCUUGAGACUGGCACGCUCGAGUUCGGGAGAGGAUGGUGGAAUUCCCAGUGUAGCGGUGAAAUGCGUAGAUAUCGGUAGGAACACCAGUGGCGAAGGCGGUCUCCUGGGGCAUUCUUGACGCUGAGGCGCGAAAGCUGGGGGAGCGAACGGG